CACAGCUCCUCCCCUCCCCCUGCUCUGUAUUCUAAGGACGCAGGUCUGCACAGGAGAAGGACCUCACAGAGAAGAUGAGUGUAAUCUGAAGGGGAGGAUGAGAAGAAUUCCCAGUGGAGUGAUGAUAGCCUAUGAAUCUCCACACACUGCUAAUGGUGUUCUCCUCAAGGAGAAAUCUUACCCCUUUGACCUACUGAAAAUUGACACAGCACACCAAUAGCAAAAGCAUAGUUUAGGAGUAUCCUGGAUUGAAGCUGCUCUUCUGUCUCAUGGUCUGAACACCUUGCAAACAUUGAGUGAACAGUAAAUCUAAAGGUAUAUGAAACAUUUUACAAUAUAAUGCAAGGGCACCAGUCCAUUAAUUCAAGCUGAAGAAACAUUCAACAAAGCAACAAGACAAAGUACCAAAUGAACACAGAUCUGUGUAUCCUGUUGGACUACUUUAGAUUGUGAGAAGUACCAUGACCAGCGUUUUUUUGGGUUUAAUGUUAAUAAAAUGUUUAAUAAGGG